UGAAUUAUUGAUCAAGAGAAUAGAAAAAACCCCAUGUAUAUGUGAAACUAUGCUCUUAGAACACCUUCUUCCAUGCUAUUGAAGCAGGCGAACAGGCGAGUGAGUGAAGAGAGAAGCCAUGCCUCUUUCAAGGUGAGGCAAGCGAUGAACAAGUAGAUGCUACCCUUAGACCUAUUCUCUCUUUUGGUAGCAUACACCAUGAUGGGCUAGGCUAGGAAACCAUAUUCGAUAUGAUAGGACAGGUAAACAAAGCAAGGCCUAGGUCGAGAGCCAAUUUCAUAUUCUCCGGUUCCAUUCCUGAUCGAACUCCCUUCCUGUCAUCGUAUCUUGUGUAAGAAUCGCUUUCAGGCUUCUUAUCGCUUUCUCAUCAGUGGCAGUUUUGUCUCCCGUCCCUAUCGAUUUGCAAGUUGCAAUCAGAAAGAUGAAGAUGGGUGCCAUAAGUCUAUCUUAGGCCAUCACAACAUAUUAGUUGCUCGUGCUAUGAUUGGUCGCCAACUUAACCUAUGGGCUAGCAUGACAUGAGCUAGCUCCUCUAUCAUGCCAUGAUAGGCAUGGUUUAAUUUGGUCGUGCCUUGUGAGGCUCUAGCUAGGUUGUGCUAGGCUGCUUAUUCGGGCAUGUAUAGAUGCAAUUACUUUUUGUGGCAGCUAAUUGGCCAUUAGAGCAUCUAUAUCCAUUGGCCAUAAGGAUAAACCAUGGGAGAGAGAAAUGAGUGAGAACUUGAGCUAAGUGAUGUAAGAGUGAGUCUUUCUUAAACUCACUCUUUAAAUCCUCAUUUUGAAUUCAAAGGUACUCAUAUAUACCACUAAGAAGAAGCAAUGCUAGAUAGAUACCCUUAGCACCUAUCAAGGGGUAAUAGUAGAUGUACAUGUUCUUAACGGGAUCAAAGAUGUAGGGGCCUUGGAUAGCUUAUCUAACGAUGUAUAUGUGAAGUUUACUGCUAAGAUUAAUGGCCAUCAAUCUCCAAAUAUAGUAAGUCUCUUUUGCAACUUCCAUGUUUUCUAUGCGUAAUUGGUUUUCCUACACAUUUAUGUACAGUUAUGUAAGUGCACUUUAUAUAAGAUAUAUAGAAACUAACAUACCAAUGCCUUGGGAUUUGUUGUUCGAUCUUCUUUUGUCUUGCCAUCAUGCAUCUUUAGGUUUAGCAUUCGAUAUAUUCUAGAUCAAACGUCUCCAAGAGACUGCUAGGUCCCAACAGAUAGAAAAGCUGCUCCAAUGAUGUUGCCUGACACCUUACCUCCGAAUAAACCUGAAAUUAUGGAAAGGGAGGGUACGAUGAAACAACCCUAAGAGCAACUCCAACAGUUUGGCAAUUUUUGUUGUGAAGGCUAUUUUAGAAUUUACAGAGUAAAAAAUAGGCUCCAAAUAGAUGUGUUAUCUGAUUUUGUAAAAUAGAAAGUUGGCUAUCUCUUGAUUUUCGGUGGCCAUAUAUAGCCAACCACUGACAAUGGCUAUCUGAUUUUGUAAAAUAGCAAGGUUGUUGUGAACUUCUUCUUUUCUUAAGCAGUUUUCUAUUUUACAAAAUGGCUAAAUAAUACAAAUUGGCUAUUAAGUUUAGCUAAGCUCUUAGAGUUGCCCAAUAUUGUACGUAUUUGAUCAUGAAUAAAACAUUUGAUUUUUUUGAGCAAGUAAUAAAACAUUUGAUGUGGUAGUGAAAUUGCAUGACCCUAAGGGUCCGAGAAGGCCCACUGUUAUAAAGUAGCAUCUAACUAGGCCUGAAAGGGCAUCGUGACUCAGAAGCCAGAAUUGGGCCGAGUCUACAUCUACUGACCCGGCAUAGUGUGCAGCAAGGGUAUAGCCUUGUGGGCCAGGAAGGCCAACCUACUGGACCCAAGUACCCAACGACCACGCAUGGCCCAUGUACCCCUUGGUUAAGUUCCGGGCCGGCUCCGGCUGAAGCCCAGGCCCAGCGGCUCGCCGACGCCCCCAACGCAAAAACGGCAAUACACCCCCACCUGCCACCUUCCCCACGCGUCGGGCACGAAAGGCACGGAAACCGACGAGGCGUUUCCGUUUCCGGCGUGCCUCGCACCGUGUUCAAUCGAGCCGGAACGAACCCCAAACAAACCCAAAUGCUCGAUCCGGCGGAUCGAUCGCGUCCAAUCUGGAGCCAGCCAGCAGAAAAUCCCGGUCUUGUGACCCGAUUCCGACUGCCACGGGGAAGCGCCGGCCCCCAAAUCAUCACUGCCUGCAUCGACUCGGCACGGCACGGGCACCCCCGGGCCGUCGGCUCCUCGUGUCUCAGCAUAAAUCGACGGCCUUUUGUCCGUCCGGCGGCUGCUCGGAUCACACUACCAGCGCUAGGCCUAGGGUUUGGUAUCGAGCGGAUCGAUCGAAGCCAUGGAGAGCGAGGGCAACGCCGCCGCCGCUGGUGCUGGUGCUGGUGCUGGUGCUGGCAACUGGGAGGCGCCGAACGGGGUGAUCGUGCUGCCCGCGGGGUCGGCGGCGCCGAGGUUCCUGCAGCAGGAGCCCCACUACCUGCGGCGGAAGCGUGAGAUGGAGCGGGAGCAGCAGGACGCGGAGGCGGCGGGGGCGGACCCGGGGGUUUUGGGGCUGGACCUCAGGCAGCCGCCGGAGAAGGUGUACUACAAGACUAGGCUGUGCGAGAAGUUCGAGGCUGGCAAGUGCGCGUACGAGGACGGGUGCACCUUCGCGCACGGCUUCGACGAGCUGCGCCCGCCGCUGCCCGUGCCGACCGCGCUCAUCCGGCGCAGGUCGCCGCUGCGGCCGCGGUCGUCGUCGCCUGGUGGUGCCGCCGCCGACGGCUCGCAAGUCAGCGGCGGCUACCUUAGGGUGUGCUUCGAAUUCAGGGACACGGGGGCCUGCCACCGGGGGGAUAGGUGCGCCUUCGCCCACGCUUCCGUGGCAGCAGGUACGUGCGCGCUCGCUCCACGCCUCCCUAUACGUGUGCAUGGCGGCCGAUCGCUCCCGGAUCUCGCGGAUCGUGCCCUGAUCUACCUCGUCUCUGUGUUCUGGCGCAGACAUGCCCUUCCCUGGGGGGCCAAGGUCUGUGGAGCACGCGCUGAGGAACGCGUCGCCGUAUGUAAAGGCGUACUCCUCGCCGGGGUCCGCGGCCUCCGCGCACCGUAGCAGCAGCACCACCAGCAGCUUUGCACCGUCUUCCACAAGGGCGGUCCCGUCCAUUCCUGCCGACGCGGCCGGGGAGGGCCGUCGUCGCAAGGUCACCCGACUGGAGCUCCUGAGCCGCAAGAAGACGAGCGGCAUCUACGGCGACUGGCCGGGGCAGGAAUGAGUGCGCACCAUGCGUCGAAGCUGCCAUGUCUACCUUCCUGCCUUUAAGCGUGACAACAUCGUCCAGAAUAAUUAAAAGAACUGAGCGAUCUGCUAUUUUGAUUUGAACUGAUUUGAAAAUGUUGUGGUUGUAUUUCGUUUCCUGCUGAAUCCGUGCAUGUAAUCCGUCUGAUCAGACCUCUGUGCAUUCCUGCCAUCAUUUCUACUUUCAUAAGACUGGAAUAAUUUUAAGUGCUGUGCUGUUGCUUUCGCUCCUAGCUGUCCGUCGUCCUCUGUUGCCUCUGUUUGCCUUUGGGCCAAAUGGUUCCAUGGUUUUGACGCGGCCCAUUGGGCUCCCACACCAUUUCUUGCUGCGUGAGUGCGUGGUGUUGUGCGAGUCAGAGAGAGAGGGGGAGACUGGGAGAGGAACGGAGAGAAUUGUGGAUCUGUCAAUUUGCAGGGGAGUGAAAUUGGAUCCCAAGGACAAGGGGCAGAAGGUUGCAGAGCUGCAGCCAGCAGGGGGGAAGGGAAGAGGAGAUCAUGGGGUCUGGGAUUGGAGCAUUACUGGUGCUUGCUGCAGCAUGUCUAGCGUCUGCGCCGCCCUACAUUUCGGCUUCUUCCCGCAAGUAAGUUCCUUUCUCUUGCCUCUUGUUCUGAAGGAUUUGUUGGAUCUGCACAGCUGUUGUUUCAGAAACCAGUUGGGGUGGGCUUGUUGAUUUGUUUUCUAGGAAAGAUAUGUAAUUGGGUUCCCCUUCAUUUAUGCAACGGUUGUUGAUGUGGGAAAUGUUGCUAAUUAAGUAAUUAUUAUGCCUGCUCAAACCAAUUAACUGCAUGUUCUUUGAAGGGUAGUCUAUAUAUUGUUGUUUUUCAUCUAAUCAAGGAUAUGAAUGAGGUGACCACAUCAGAUGAUUAAAUUGGUGUAAGAAAUGACCCGUGUAACAUGAAAGGCAGUUCGAAAUCAACUGCAGACAGCCAAGCAAUUCAAUUAAAAGUACAAUAAAAGUGAAGAGAAAUUGGGAAGAAAUGGGAUAGAAAGCUAAUAUAUGCUGUAAAUGUGAGAGGAGGAUAGCUUGGAAAUCAAGAGUACUGGGGUAGAAAGAACUAAUGUAGAAUUGAAAUAACAGAGAAGAUAACAGGAGAUUACAGGAACCUGAGCUAAUAAGGAUGCAGUAAAACAUACUUCUCUAAUUUUUUAAAGUUUCCCGAAGAUUUUUGGUGUAAUUCAUUUACUUCUCUUUUGCAGAUUCGAUUUGAGUAUGACAGGACGAAAUUUAGAGAACUCUACAGAUGGCUCCUCUGCAACGUUACAUUUUGGUUUUGAUUCUUCAAAAUCGAUGCGACUGUCUUGGCAUCCAAGGUAUAUUUCAUCACUGCCCUCUAUAGUUUGAUAAACCAACAGCUUAUUCAGUUUCCAUGUUUAUACAGUGCAUCUAUUAUCCUGACUGCAAGGUUCAUGAAAUAUCUUAUCUUUGGAUACUUAUAAUGUUGUGCCUGGAAAUCUCUCUGCCUUGAAAAUCAUAUGGCCCUGAUAUGUUUUUUACUUCUGCUUUUUUUUUUUACUUGGAGGAGUACCUUGUUUCUUACCUUAAUUCAGGGUCUUCUUGUAUGAAGGUUUUCUUUCUGACAUGGAGUGCGACCACUUGAUAUCUAUGGUAUUCCAUUCUGCUUAUCACUGACAAUAUGUUCUCAUUGUCUUUGUGAUUGAAGAUAAUAUUUUCAUUGUUGCAGGCACAUGGUAAGAAGCAAUCAUCAUUAGUUGUUGGUGGCAGUGCUGGAAAUAAUUCCCAGGGUGCAAGCAUCGAAGUGUUCAUGGCUCAUAGCAAAGUGAGCCUAUACCUUCAUUUCAUGAUAUUCUGAUGAGUGGUUCUUUUAGGAUUUUGUAGAAAAGUUCAUGCAUAGAGACAUUGAAUCUCUUUAUUCAACAAUUUAGUAGGAGUAUUUUGUCUGUGAUUAAAUUAUCAUCUAUGAGCUAUGAUGAUAAUUAACAAAUGUGCACAUUACCAGACACCAAUCAAAUGAAACUGAAAUUCUGCCCCUUUCUGGUUGGCAACCCAUUAAAUAAAUGUGUAUUUCUUCAUGAUUAUUUACAGUCUGCAGUAGUAUAUCAUAGAUGUUAACAUAUCAACAUAACUGAAAGUCUGAAUUUACUAUCUUUUUCUCAUGGACUGUUCUGCUUUUAAAUUGAUUGUUUUAAUCUUAUUAUAUAUCUUAUCAUCCUUAUGAAGGACACAAUUGUUUCAACAAUUGAAGAUAGGAUAUCAGUAUGGAGCUUUCUUCCAAAAGGUACCACUUGGUUUACAUGAUAUGAUCUACUCUUUUGUAAUUCUGUGUAAACCUGUAUUCUUUGUUCUGGGAUAUUGAAAUUUUAUUGUUCGUCAGAUUUUGGAGAGAGUAUGCAGAUUUUGAAGUAUGAGGUGAACAAAAGUGACUAUAACAACUAUGAAUCUCAAUCAAGCAGUGGCCAUGAUAGGCUUGUGACAGUUUUGAUGUAUCUUUCUGAUGUCAAGAGAGGUGGUGAAACUGCCUUCCCCAGAUCUGAGGUAAUAUUGUUUUGCCAUUGCACCUACUUGUGACGACCCCUUUCCAGAAUAUUAUGUGCUUUUACUCUAUGCAUGAUUUCUUUUUUUUUAAUAUUUCAAUUGAUAUAUGGAAGAAAGUUCUUAUACCAAACAAUGUUUAUAGCUUAAGGGCACCAAAGUUGAGCUAGCGGCGCCUUCUGAAUGUGCUGGUUAUGCUGUACAACCUGUCAGGGGGAAUGCAAUUUUGCUAUUCAAUUUAAAGCCUGAUGGAGUAAUAGACAAGGAUAGCCAAUAUGAGAUGUGUUCUGUCCUCGAAGGUGAGGAAUGGCUGGCCAUAAAACAUAUCCAUUUGAGAAAGAUUGAUACUCCAAAAUCUUCAUUAGUGUCCGAGGAUGAGUGCACAGAUGAAGACGAUAGAUGUGUCAGUUGGGCUGCUGGUGGGGAAUGUGACAGGAAUCCGAUAUUUAUGAUAGGAACUCCAGACUACUAUGGGAGUUGUCGUAAGAGCUGCCGUGUGUGCUGAGUGUUUCAAGAUUUUCCUAGGUAGAAACAUGAUUGUUGUAGGCAGAGAAUGGCUCAACAAAGUUACAUGGUGCUAGAUUAUCAGCAAAUGUAGUUUGGAACUCAACCAAACAAUACACCUUUGUCUGGAUGUUUAAUAGUCAGGCAUUGUGGAAUAAUGCAGUUCUUGAUUCAGAGUUACAUGUGAGCAGGGUUAUCUGAUUCAUGGAUAAUGUGGUCAUUUUGUGGUAUGAGCUUUAUGGGUCCACUAUUGUGUUAUGCAGACGCUUUUACACCCUUUGGAGCAGACCUCACCAUUGGCCUCCGGAAAAAACUGAUCCGACCUGACUCAACCGGUGCACCUAGUUAUUAGGACCGGACCGGACUGGCGGUCGGACCGGUAAAAGACUGAACCAGAGUCUCUACCGAUCUGGUUCACUUAAAAGAUCGUCUGUGCAAUUGAACCGAUUAACCGGCCGGUUUUUUUACAGAACCGUUGAACCGGCCGGUUUUAUUUGAACCGCUCCGGUUUGUAAGAGGGCAUAUGGUGCGGUAGUUGUGUGUUGUGUGGCGUGGUGCUAGGCUGCUAGCUGGUGGACUACUGCCCCUGUCAUUGGUCCGCCCGCCUGCCUGCUCACGAUUGGAAGUGUCCCAUGCAUGGUGGCUUGCAGCAGCAGCUGCUGUUACUUUUUUUUUUGCUAGAGCCUGGAGCUGAGCUGAUGUCAGCAUUUUUCUUUAUAAAUUUCAGAAUUUCAUAACUUUUCUAAAUGAACUCAAAAUUAGACAAAUAAUAUAUCUAUUCCGAUUAUCUCAACAAGCUCUUCGAAGUGGCGCCCUUUGUUUUAUCACUCAAGAUUACUUUGCAAUGCUGAAUAUUUAAAUUACUAUUGAAGUCUUUUUGCACCAAUUUGUAAGUGCUCCAAGUUUAUGUUUUUCCACACAUUUUAUAUAUUGGGUAAACAACUCUAGAGAACCAUUACCUUGGAGUCUGUGUUGUGUACUUGUGAAUAGAUAAGUGAGAAGCAAGUUAUAUACUUGUAUUUUUUAUCAUUGUUCUCAUUUAUAUAUGUGGUUAAGUACAUGUUGCUAAUUAUAUGUUGCUAGUUAUCUAUUAUAUAUACUUAACCACAUAUAUAAAUAAGAACAAUGAUAAAAAAUUAGAACAAUGAUAUAUAUAUAUAUAUAUAUAUAUAUAUAUAUAUAUAUACACACACACACACCGGUUCAAAGUUUUUGUGAGCGGUUCAAUUCAUCCGGUUCAAAACUAUCGAACCGACGGUUCAACCGGUUCUUAACGAUUGGACCAGUGAACCGAUGGCUUUACCGGUUCGAUGUCCGGUCUGGUCUGUGAAAGUAGGCCGGUGCAUGCAUAAGGUGGAUCAGAGUCAUGAUUUUUGACCCGCAACAAUCAUUGGGUCAGGUCCAACACCCAACUCGAUAUGUCUGUUUGGUGGUGCGGGCAAGUAAUGAGCUCUACCGACUUUUACAAUAAAUCAGCAAACAAUACUAUAACUUUUUAGACAUGCAAACAAACUUUAGACACAAAAUAUCGUGCUCAAGCUAGCAAAAAAAUUGUCAGGUUUUUUGGGCCGGACGUAAACCUGACAAAAUGUGAUGAUUGCUUUUAUCAUGCCUCAUUUGAAACUUGUGAUUUCUUUUUCAGAAUCCCGUGUUUUAACUAUUGUGAAAUUAAACUUCUGUAAAUUCACUGUACGAUUUAUAUUCUAGCGUUUCAAACGGAGCCCUAACUUUUUAAUAGAGAAAUUUCAGUACGAUUUCUGGCAAUCCAUCUUUGUUAGCUAGACAUCUAAUUGUGCACCAUAACAGAUACUUGUCAAAUCUAGAUGUGAUCCCAAAUCAAAAUCUCAACAAAAAUCCGGCCAUAACUAGUGAUUGUUAGACAAAUAAUAAAAGGGUUUUUUUGAGAAAAAAUAUUCUAGUAACUACAUGCAACAAAACUAAGAAUUAAAUUCAAGUAUAACACGUACCUUUUUCUGGCGCCUUUGGUUGUGGUUCUUGAUCCAAAUAUCUUAGGCCAUCCGACUUUUUUUUUGUUAGUUAGACCUCAAAUAUUGAACAUAGCAUAGCAUCAAACCUAAAAUUAAUCAAAGUGAAAUAUGUGAGAAGAAGUUGUGUUUUUAGGUAACGCUGGAUAUGCUAGUCGCAAGGUUACAUUAGGCGCUAGCUAGGCGUUGACCCUCUACCUAGAGCCUAAGCGAGCCUACGCGUUUUAAGGAAUAAACCAGAACAAUAGGCUUAGAUUGGGGGGAAAAGCCCAUCAAAGAGUCUAGCGCACCUUAUCACUCCCAAUCUUAUCCAUCCGCCUCUUCCAAGUUCUAGUCGCACGCUCGCACUCAUCGCCCACUGCUUUUGCCUCCUCCUAGUCGUACUCCUCAACCACUACCUCUGCCUUCUGCUCACCGCUAGCCUCCUCCUGGCCUGCUCGUUGCCUCCAAUGCCACUCGUCAUCACUCCCUCAAGCAACAAAGCUAUGGAUCUAGGGGCACGCCGCAUAUCCUCUGCCUAGCCCCUUAGGAGAGGCGGUGCCCUCCGCCUAGCACAUAAGCAUGCCUGGCGAGCACCUAAUAGCGCCUUUUGGAACACUGGCUAGAAGAUGUCGCUUAGCACUACUAUAGAAAACUUACUGGAGGCGGGCUAAAUCAAUUAACGAAGGCAGUUGCUUUGCUUGCCUUGGUUAACCUAUUAACCGCCGGCGAGCUCGUUCCUAACCCACUAGCCAGAUCUACCCACCGCUAGAGAAGGACCAAGCCCCGUGCCUUCGCCACCAGAUCUGAUCACACCACCAUCAGAUCUGCCCCUCUAGAACCAGAUCCACCAUCAUCAGGGGUUGGGAAGAAGCACCACUCACCGGAUCCGCCGUCAGGGAUGGGAAGAGGUGCCGUCAAGCCAGAUCUGCUGCUUGGGGGUUGAGCGGCAUCGCCAUGCUCGGUGGAGGGGUGACAUCAUCACCGCAGCCUGCUUGGGUUGGAGGAGUGGCACCACCGCUGCAUCCUGCUCGGAUUGGAGGAGGAGUGCCACUGCCAGCUUAGGGGAGGCCCACCGUGCACAAGGGAGAGGAAGAGGCAUCACCGCACACGAGACAAGGAGGGGUGCCGCCGCGUACAGGAGAAGGGCACACAGGGAAAGGAGGGGGGCG
rnacentral:lncRNA from 1 species